CGCAGUGCGGCAUGCCUUACACAUGCAAGUCGAACGGCAGCACGGGAGCAAUCCUGGUGGCGAGUGGCGAACGGGUGAGUAAAGUAUCGGAACGUGCCCAGUCGUGGGGGAUAACGUAGCGAAAGUUACGCUAAUACCGCAUACGAUCUAUGGAUGAAAGCGGGGGAUCGCAAGACCUCGCGCGAUUGGAGCGGCCGAUAUCAGAUUAGGUAGUUGGUGGGGUAAAGGCUCACCAAGCCGACGAUCUGUAGCUGGUCUGAGAGGACGACCAGCCACACUGGGACUGAGACACGGCCCAGACUCCUACGGGAGGCAGCAGUGGGGAAUAUUGGACAAUGGGGGCAACCCUGAUCCAGCCAUGCCGCGUGAGUGAUGAAGGCCUUCGGGUUGUAAAGCUCUUUUGGCGGGGACGAUGAUGACGGUACCCGCAGAAUAAGCCCCGGCUAACUUCGUGCCAGCAGCCGCGGUAAGACGAAGGGGGCUAGCGUUGUUCGGAAUUACUGGGCGUAAAGCGCGUGUAGGCGGUUGUUCAAGUCGGGUGUGAAAGCCUUGAGCUCAACUCAAGAAAUGCACUCGGUACUGGAUGACUAGAGGACCGGAGAGGAUAGUGGUAUUCCCAGUGUAGUGGGAAAUACGUAGAGAUUGGGAAGAACACCAGAGGCGAAGUUUUUUUUUUGUACGGAUUCUGACGCUAACACGCGAAAGUGUGGGGAGCAAAACAGGAUUAGAUCCCUGGUUGUCCCCGCUGUUAUCGAUGUCGAUUUUUAAGGUUGCGCCCUGACGCGUGGCCCCCGUAUUUUACUCUUUUUA
rnacentral:rRNA from 1 species